rnacentral:lncRNA from 1 species
UCUUAAGUCUUAUCUUAAUUCAAAAACUGAACCAGUGAGGCCAACAACAGCCGCUAGUGAGACAAAUGUUAUAUGACAUACACAAAUCUUCAAUCAAAAUCCAAGAAUCCAAAAUACACAAAUCAAGAAUAAUAUAAACAAUAUCCACCAGUCACAAAUCUCAGAUAAAAACUUAACCUAUCUUCAAGUUUCCAACAGAAAUACAAAAGUUCUCAAGUCAUGUCUUUGGUUAUAAGUACACAUGAUAUCUCAGCUAUCUACUAGUUUCCACAGGGAUACAGAUUAGAAACACUUAGUAACCAAGCUCUUAAGAGUUAAGUCUUAUCUUAAUUUAAAAACUAAACCAGUGAAACAACAGCCGCUAGUGAGACAAAUGUUAUGACAUACACAAAUCUUCAAUCAAAAUCCAAGAAUCCAAAAUACACAAAUCAAGAAUAAUAUAAACAAUAUCCACCAGUCACAAAUCUCAGAUAAAAACUUAACCUAUCUUCAAGUUUCCAACAGAAAUACAAAAGUUCUCAAGUCAUGUCUUUGGUUAUAAGUACACAUGAUAUCUCAGCUAUCUACUAGUUUCCACAGGGAUACAGAUUAGAAACACUUAGUAACCAAGCUCUUAAGAGUUAAGUCUUAUCUUAAUUUAAAAACUAAACCAGUGAAGCCAACAUAAGCAGCUAUGAAUAGCCAUAGUCAAGAAUCCAUAAUACAUAAAAACACAAAUCAAGAACAGUAUAGAUAAUACACAAAAACUAAGAAGCAAAUAAGCAAACCAGUACCUUAAUAAUUGCAACAGAUGGUUUUUGACUUUUGUCCUCAGGAACCAACAGCACCGGAUACUCCUACACAAAAAGAGAGUCUAAGGU